GCCUCCAGGAUAUUAUGUGUGCACCGGCGUGGGAUCCUGGAACUGGCAGGAAUUGUGGGUUGUGUUAGUCCCUAGACUCCCAUCGCCUAUAUGAAAUAUGGUUCCUUUUGUGGCUUGGGAGGCCAUGGCCAGCCCUGCGAUGCCAUUGACUGGUGCUGCCAUGGCCACGACUGUUGUUACACUCGAGCUGAGGAGGCCGGCUGCAGCCCCAAGACAGAGCGCUACUCCUGGCAGUGCGUCAAUCAGAGCGUCCUGUGCG
rnacentral:lncRNA from 1 species